AGUGAACGCUGGCGGUAGGCCUAACACAUGCAAGUCGAACGGCAGCACAGGAGAGCUUGCUCUCUGGGUGGCGAGUGGCGGACGGGUGAGGAAUACAUCGGAAUCUACCUUUUCGUGGGGGAUAACGUAGGGAAACUUACGCUAAUACCGCAUACGACCUACGGGUGAAAGUGGGGGACCGCAAGGCCUCACGCGAUUAGAUGAGCCGAAGUCCGAUUAGCUAGUUGGCGGGGUAAUGGCCCGCCAAGGCGACGAUCGGUAGCUGGUCUGAGAGGAUGAUCAGCCACACUGGAACUGAGACACGGUCCAGACUCCUACGGGAGGCAGCAGUGGGGAAUAUUGGACAAUGGGCGCAAGCCUGAUCCAGCCAUACCGCGUGGGUGAAGAAGGCCUUCGGGUUGUAAAGCCCUUUUGUUGGGAAAGAAAUCCUGUCGAUUAAUACUCGGUGGGGAUGACGGUACCCAAAGAAUAAGCACCGGCUAACUUCGUGCCAGCAGCCGCCGUAACAC
rnacentral:rRNA from 1 species